rnacentral:rRNA from 1 species
GACGAACGCUGGCGGCGUGCUUAACACAUGCAAGUCGAACGGAAAGGCCCUGCUUUUGUGGGGUGCUCGAGUGGCGAACGGGUGAGUAACACGUGAGUAACCUGCCCUUGACUUUGGGAUAACUUCAGGAAACUGGGGCUAAUACCGGAUAGGAGCUCCUGCUGCAUGGUGGGGGUUGGAAAGUUUCGGCGGUUGGGGAUGGACUCGCGGCUUAUCAGCUUGUUGGUGGGGUAGUGGCUUACCAAGGCUUUGACGGGUAGCCGGCCUGAGAGGGUGACCGGCCACAUUGGGACUGAGAUACGGCCCAGACUCCUACGGGAGGCAGCAGUGGGGAAUAUUGCACAAUGGGCGGAAGCCUGAUGCAGCAACGCCGCGUGCGGGAUGACGGCCUUCGGGUUGUAAACCGCUUUCGCCUGUGACGAAGCGUGAGUGACGGUAAUGGGUAAAGAAGCACCGGCUAACUACGUGCCAGCAGCCGCGGUGAUACGUAGGGUGCGAGCGUUGUCCGGAUUUAUUGGGCGUAAAGGGCUCGUAGGUGGUUGAUCGCGUCGGAAGUGUAAUCUUGGGGCUUAACCCUGAGCGUGCUUUCGAUACGGGUUGACUUGAGGAAGGUAGGGGAGAAUGGAAUUCCUGGUGGAGCGGUGGAAUGCGCAGAUAUCAGGAGGAACACCAGUGGCGAAGGCGGUUCUCUGGGCCUUUCCUGACGCUGAGGAGCGAAAGCGUGGGGAGCGAACAGGCUUAGAUACCCCGGUAGUCCACGCUGUAAACGGUGGGUACUAGGUGUGGGGUCCAUUCCACGGGUUCCGUGCCGUAGCUAACGCUUUAAGUACCCCGCCUGGGGAGUACGGCCGCAAGGCUAAAACUCAAAGGAAUUGACGGGGCCCCGCACAAGCGGCGGAGCAUGCGGAUUAAUUCGAUGCAACGCGUAGAACCUUACCUGGGUUUGACAUGGAUCGGGAGUGCUCAGAGAUGGGUGUGCCUCUUUUGGGGUCGGUUCACAGGUGGUGCAUGGCUGUCGUCAGCUCGUGUCGUGAGAUGUUGGGUUAAGUCCCGCAACGAGCGCAACCCUUGUUCACUGUUGCCAGCACGUUAUGGUGGGGACUCAGUGGAGACCGCCGGGGUCAACUCGGAGGAAGGUGGGGAUGACGUCAAGUCAUCAUGCCCCUUAUGUCCAGGGCUUCACGCAUGCUACAAUGGCUGGUACAGAGAGUGGCGAGCCUGUGAGGGUGAGCGAAUCUCGGAAAGCCGGUCUCAGUUCGGAUUGGGGUCUGCAACUCGACCUCAUGAAGUCGGAGUCGCUAGUAAUCGCAGAUCAGCAACGCUGCGGUGAAUAAGUUCCCGGG